rnacentral:lncRNA from 1 species
CAGGGUUGCUGGGAGAGUUCAUUAAUGUUGUAUGAAGCACUCUGAGCUUUUGGAUAAAAUCAAUGUUAUUAAAGCCAUGUUUUUAUUUUUCUUCUCAGCAAGUUCAGUCUUCCUGCAGUUAGGUCACGCUGGUGCUAAGGCUCUUUGAUAGCUCUGGCAACGUUCGCGGAUUCACAGAUGCAUCUGGACUGUUUCUGGGAAAAGGGGCCUGACUGCCUUUGUCUUGCUGAUGGGCUUGUGGGGGCAAGGACAAAAUACAUGAGUUGUGGAUUCAUGAACGAGUCAGGAGGCUCUGGAUUGUUGACGUGUACUCUGUAAUUAGAGGCCCUGUAAGUAGUACCAUGCAGUCUCAAUUUUGGCAAAAAUAUUUUCAGUUUAGAAAGGCAGAGGUUUUUAUAAUUAAAUAUGUUGCCUUUGUAUAUUCAGUGGCUGUUUAUGUGACACGAGCCUUGGACUCGCUCUUGAUGGCUUAAAUGCAAAACAUGCAAAAUACGUGCCAAAAGACCUUGGUUGGGUGGCUCCAGCAUGAACCAGGAGUAGUAUAGAUGUGAACAUUAAUGCAGCCUGAUGUCACAGGAGACCCAUGUCCUAAGUGUGAUCCAGGUGGUGUGAAGACGGACUUUGCAGUAAGAAAUGUAUGCCUGUAAAAAUGUUGUCUAACACUCUACUCCGUGUAUAUAGCCUUAUUGUUCAUUGUGAGAACUAUUUUAAAAAGAAUUACCUUCAGUAAAGGGCAAGGGUUGUUAACACCUGUGAAAUAAAACCUACAAUGUUAAGGCCUCCUACAUGGAAUAUUCCUUUUUGGCCAAAGAGCCUUUCAGUCCUCAAAGGAGUUGAAAUUUACUGUAUUUUGAAGGUGUUUAUUAAUGACUGUGGUCUCUCCUCAGUCUGUACAUCUCUCAUUGUGGUUAAGGUGGUGAGGUGCACAUGUUGCAGGGGGACCUGUGGAACCUGCAGUGCGAUCCCUGCAGCUGGAAAGAGAUACAGGUCUCCAUGUCCUACAGUUCUUUGACUGCCCAGAUGAAGGAACAAAGGAACCAUUUGAACCUUGCAGAAAUUCUAACGAGCCCUUCUGUGCUGGAAUGCAUCAAGCAAAUUGCCCGCAAAUACAGCUGGACUUGUGCUGAGCUAAAUGUGGGCACUGCA